CCUGUCCUGUGAUGAAGCAAUGGAAAUUGCACUGUACGGUGCCUGAAAACCAUGAUUAAGAUUUCCAUGCUGCCUUCCUUCUGAGGACACU